GAUGAACGCUGGCGGCGUGCCUAAUACAUGCAAGUCGAGCGAACGGACGAGAAGCUUGCUUCUCUGAUGUUAGCGGCGGACGGGUGAGUAACACGUGGAUCACCUACCUAUAAGACUGGGAUAACUUCGGGAAACCGUAGCUAAUACCGGAUAAUAUUUUGAACCGCAUGGUUCAAAAGUGAAAGACGGUCUUGCUGUCACUUAUAGCUGGAUCCGCGCUGCAUUAGCUAGUUGGUAAGGUAACGGCUUACCAAGGCAACGAUGCAUAGCCGACCUGAGAGGGUGAUCGGCCACACUGGAACUGAGACACGGUCCAGACUCCUACGGGAGGCAGCAGUAGGGAAUCUUGCACAAUGGGCGCAAGCCUGACCCAGCCACGCCGCGUGAGUGAUGAAGGUCUUCGGGUCGUAAAACUCUUUUAUUAGGGAAGAACAUAUGUGUGAGUAACUGUGCACAUUUUGACGGUACCUAAUCAGAAAGCCCCGGCUAACUUCGUG
rnacentral:rRNA from 1 species